UACGUAGGGGGCUAGCGUUGCUCGGAAUCACUGGGCGUAAAGCGCACGUAGGCGGAUUGUUUAGUCGGGGGUGAAAUCCUGGAGCUCAACUCCAGAACUGCCUUCGAUACUGACGAUCUCGAGUCCGGGAGAGGUGAGUGGAACUCCGAGUGUAGAGGUGAAAUUCGUAGAUAUUCGGAAGAACACCAGUGGCGAAGGCGGCUCACUGGCCCGGUACUGACGCUGAGGUGCGAAAGCGUGGGGAGCAAACAGG
rnacentral:rRNA from 1 species